UAAAACAAUCUUGUUUUCCUUUAAGCUGGCAGCUAGCUCUAUGCAACUCUCACAGGGUCACCCACUGAAGCUAAGCAGGGCUGAGCCUGUCAGUACCUGGAUGGGAGACUACAUGGGAAAGCUAGCUUGUAAAAA
rnacentral:rRNA from 1 species